AAGGAUUUAAGUUAAAAUUAAACUUUUAACCUUCAAAGUUAAAUAUAGAAAAGCUUUCUAAGCCUUA
rnacentral:tRNA from 1 species